GAUGAACGCUAGCGGCAGGCUUAAUACAUGUAAGUCGUGGGGCAGCAGGUUUGUAGCAAUACAGAUGCUGGCGACCGGCAAACGGGUGCGGAACACGUACAGAACCUUCCUUUGAGCGGGGAAUAGCCCAGAGAAAUUUGGAUUAAUACCCCAUAGUAUAAUGAAGUGGCAUCACUUUAUUAUUAAAGAUUUAUCACUCGAAGAUGGCUGUGCGGCUGAUUAGGUAGUUGGCGGGGUAAAGGCCCACCAAGCCUGCGAUCAGUAACUGGUGUGAGAGCACGACCAGUCACACGGGCACUGAGACACGGGCCCGACUCCUACGGGAGGCAGCAGUAAGGAAUAUUGGUCAAUGGAGGCAACUCUGAACCAGCCAUGCCGCGUGGAGGAUGAAGGUCCUCUGGAUUGUAAACUUCUUUUAUAUGGGACGAAAAAAGGCUUUUCUAAGUCGUCUGACGGUACCAUAUGAAUAAGCACCGGCUAACUCCGUGCCAGCAG
rnacentral:rRNA from 1 species